rnacentral:rRNA from 1 species
AGCCAGACUCCUACGGGAGGCAGCAGUGAGGAAUAUUGGUCAAUGGGCGGGAGCCUGAACCAGCCAAGUCGCGUGAGGGACGACGGCCCUAUGGAUUGUAAACCUCUUUUGUCGGGGAACAAAGGCGCCCACGGGUGGGCGGAUGAGUGUACCCGAAGAAAAAGCGUCGGCUAACUCCGUGCCAGCAGCCGCGGUAAUACGUAGGUGGCGAGCGUUGUCCGGAUUUACUGGGCGUAAAGGGAGCGUAGGCGGCAAGGUAAGCCAGAAGUGAAAGCCCGCGGCUUAACUGCGGGACUGCUUUUGGAACUAUCUAGCUAGAUUGCAGGAGAGGUAAGUGGAAUUCCUAGUGUAGCGGUGAAAUGCGUAGAUAUUAGGAGGAACACCAGUGGCGAAGGCGGCUUACUGGACUGUAAAUGACGCUGAGGCUCGAAAGCGUGGGGAGCAAACAGGAUUAGAUACCCUCGUAA